GACGAACGCUGGCGGCGUGCUUAACACAUGCAAGUCGAACGGAAAGGCCCUGCUUUUGUGGGGUGCUCGAGUGGCGAACGGGUGAGUAACACGUGAGUAACCUGCCCUUGACUUUGGGAUAACUUCAGGAAACUGGGGCUAAUACCGGAUAGGAGCUCCUGCUGCAUGGUGGGGGUUGGAAAGUUUCGGCGGUUGGGGAUGGACUCGCGGCUUAUCAGCUUGUUGGUGGGGGAGUGGCUUACCAAGGCUUUGACGGGUAGCCGGCCUGAGAGGGUGACCGGCCACAUUGGGACUGAGAUACGGACCAGACUCCUACGGGAGGCAGCAGUGGGGAAUAUUGCACAAUGGGAGGAAGCCUGAUGCAGAAACGCCGCGUUCGGGAUGACGGCCUUCGGGUUGUAAACCGCUUUCGCCUGUGACGAAGCGUGAGUGACGGUAAUGGGUAAAGAAGCACCGGCUAACUACGUG
rnacentral:rRNA from 1 species